GAGAAACCCUGUACUUGGAAUACCGGGAUAAAGUUCUCAUGCUCGCUAAACACAUUACUCCUAGAGUUCAUAAUCAUGUCGUCCUAUGCUGUUUCUUAAUUGUGUGUUACUGUCGCUAUAUAUUCUUGACGUGCGCCUUUCACGCUCUUUAUACUCUUCUUCUAAAAUGUACUUCCAAGCACUUGGUAAUUCUUUGGCCGUUCUACUGUUGACAAGACAGUGGUCAUGCUUUCUCAUAGUUAUUUCUAUAGUCUCCUGCAAGGUCGCCUGCGCUGCCGAAACAAUCUGUUUUAUUAUUUUGGCUUGGUUCCAAUUUAUCUCUG
rnacentral:lncRNA from 1 species